CGCAGAUAAUUAAAAACCUACAGCAAUGUCAUAUUUUCUCUCCUCCCUCAUUUUGUUCCUUUCGCUCCAUCAAACAAAGGCGACGAAGGCGAUGAAGCUCCUCCGUAGAAACCGAUGAAAAUCGCAGGAUUUCUUGAAAUUCCUCCAUAAAAUCGAGCUUAUUCAAGUUUUAUUUGUCCAAUUCUGCUGCAAAUGAGAGAUUAUUUGAUUAAAAUCGAGCUUUAUCAAGUUUAAAUCUGGAUGCAAGUUAAUUAGGUUUUCUCCAAAUUGAUGAUUCAAGUAUUAUCAGGUUAUCUGCAUUGCUCACAAAGGGGUAUUUUUAUAAAAUACCCAAUCAAUAUGCUCCAAACGUCGUUUAAAACGUCUUAGGUAAGAGUACUUUGCAUAUGGUAGAUUGGUGUGUAACAGUGUAAAUACAAAGUUCGCCAAUUUACAAUGACUGAAGAACAACAAAGAAUUCAGGUAAUUACAUAUAUUAUGGUUUGGAUUGUGAUUUAAAGAUUGCUGCUACAUUUUGAAUAACUUGGAAUGAGUUAGAUUUAAUCUAUCACAUACUCUUGUCUCUGGAAAUGUAGGAUGAGAUGAACUUGUUGGGAAGAUUGUCACAUCCAAACUUGGCUCAUUCAUUAGGAUAUUGUUGGACUGAGGAGAAGUUUUAUUUAGUCUCUGAAUAUAUGCCCAAAGGAAGUUUGGAUAAUCAUAUACUCAACGGUAAAUAGUUAAUUGUUUGCUUUGGAGUUGGGCGUUGAACUGUUGAUCAGUGUGGUCUAACUAGAUUCUGGUAUUUCCUCCGCAGGUAGAGUUAGUUAUAAAAAAUUGUACUAGUUGGUAUAAGCAAGUAAUUGUACUAGUUGUUAUAAUGUUUACAUCAAUUACUUUGUUUUCUAGAAGUGUGAUAUAUUUUAUUGAAUUUUUGUAGGGUGAAAGUUCUGGAAAUCCUCCAAGUUUUGGUUCUGUUAGGUUAUGAUACAUAUGACAAUUCAUAAAUCAUGCGGAAAAACCAUAAAGCCAGGAAAGCAUAUUAUUUACACAUAAUCAUUUAGCAUAGUAUAGAUGCAUACAUGUUGUAGCGUGCCUUCCCUAGUUGCGCCCGAACCGAACAAGAACAAGUCUUUAGGACUCCAAAUGUCGUCCCUCCGUAGAUAGUCCACAGUACGUCCGGAUACGCCUCAAGUUAGACCAACUAGAAUCGCCCUUAAGGUGCUUAGGAUUUUCGGCUCUUAUUGCAAGUGUAUGGCUGAUUUAUAUUUCAAAAACUUACCCUUUGAAUACUUCAAUCGUACCCAUAAAUUGUGACCCUAGGCACUUAUUUAUAGGAGUAUGGAAAAGGAAUUGUAAUCCUACUAGGAUGUGGAUUUGUUAAUUAGAACUUUAUUAGGACUCUAAAUAACAAAGCAAAUCUAAUAGGAUUAGGAUUUUAAUCUUUGCACGAAUCCUAAUAGGAUUAGGAUUUCCCGCACACGCAUCGUACAAGCCAUGCACCCGCGCAGGCCUUGCGGCCCACGACAGGCGCACAGCCCAUGUGCAGUGCUGCGCGCGCGCGCGCCCUUGGCUGGGCCUGGCCUUGCGCUGGGCCUGGUCGAGGCGUGUGUUGCUGCGUGCGGCUCGCUGGGCGAUGGCCUGGCUUCGUGCUGGGCCUUCGUCUAGCGGGCCUCGUCCGAUGCUAAUUCGUACGAUACGCUUCCGAUUAAAUUCCCGAUUCCGGAAUUCAUUUCCGAUACGAACAAUAUUUAAUAUUUCCGAUUCCGGAAUUAAUUUCCGUUUCGAACAAAUAUUUAAUAUUUCCGUUUCCGUAAUUAUUUUCCGAUUCCGAUAAUAUUUUCCGAUUCUGACAAUAUUUCCGUUUCCGGCAAUAUUUCCGAUUCCAGCAAUAUUUCCAUUUCCGAUAAUAUUUUCCGAUACGUACCAUGUUUCCGUUUCCGGCAACAUCUACGACUUGGAUAAUAUUUAUAUUUCCGAUACGAUCUAUAUUUCCGGUUCCGGCAAUAUCAUCGUUUCCGGAGUAUUCAUUUCUUGCUUGUGACGAUCUCAGCUCCCACUGAAACCAAGAUCCGUCGAUUCCGAAUAUCCAUAGAUAGAGUAUUUAAUGCCAUUAAAUACUUGAUCCGUUUACGUACUAUUUGUGUGACCCUACGGGUUCAGUCAAGAGUAAGCUGUGGAUUAAUAUCAUUAAUUCCACUUGAACUGAAGCGACCUCUAGCUAGGCAUUCAGCUCACUUGAUCUCACUGAAUUAUUAACUUAUUAAUUAAUACUGAACCGCAUUUAUUAGACUUAACAUAGAAUGCAUACUUGGACCAAGGGCAUUAUUUCCUUCAGGUUCGACACUCACAAAACAGGAAUUAUUUUAGACAAGCCCGAAACUGUGGAAAGACAUGUAAGUUUAUCUUCCUUCCUCUCUGUUUCUUAAGUUCCAUAAGUGGGGUUUUCUUAAGUUCCAUAAGUGGAUUUUGAAACUUUGAAACCCUAUGGGAUAUUGCAACUAACUUGAUUUUUAAUUCUUAAAGGAAAUGAUCAAGAAGACAAUUCAAGAAAAUCCAGAAAUGGAGGGAAAACUUCAGGCCAUUCUAGAUGCUUUUAGAGAUAAGUAAGGUACAAAGAACUGUCACAUUAUAUAUAUGAGUUGUGGUACAUGUUUUCUGCUGUUCCUUUGUCUGCAACUGUAAAUUCAGGUUGGUGCUGCUAUGUGCUUCCUUGCUUCCUGCUGGGCUAAUGUGCCUUGCUUCUACUAUCUGCUGCAAACUUUGAAUUUUAUUUAAAUUGCAGUAAUCAGACCAAGUGUUAUUGUGGUCUUAUUUUUGAUUUCUUGGGCAUCAGACAAUUGGUUGUGGUAGUUUUAAUCAUGGGCCAUUGUUGUAGAUUUGGAUUUUGUGAAAUGAACUUGAUGGUACUUUUAUAA